UGCACAUUUGCUGCCAUUGCCUUGUAGGUGAGAGUGGAAUAGUACAGAAGUUUGCAUUCACUAAGGUUAAAUGCAACCCCAAGGACAGGGAGAGCUCUAGCUCUUGGUACCAUUAUGCAUUGCAACACAGUAUAGUGGUAUUUAUAUUGCAAGGAAGAAAACAUUUUUCCUUAGAAAUAUAGGUACUAGCAAAAAUAAGUUUAAAAAGAGGAUCAUGGAAUAGUAAGGCCAUUUUGAAGAUAGUAACUGUUGCAUUCUAAUACACCUGCUAACAGACUGUAUGGGGUCUUUUUAAAAAAUGUGCUCAUUUUAGAACAAUCUCUUUAAUAUUUUGUUAUGUACUCUUCUUUUCCCCUUCCCUCUUUUCUUCUCUCCCUCCCUCCCCUUCUUUUUUUUCCUUCUGCUUUGUCAGAAGAUAUUCAGGUAGCCAAAGGACCACAGCUAAAGUGUUUGUCUUUUGCCAUGUUAUAUUUUGAUUACCUGGAUAGAGGGAAGAACUUUGAAAGUCUUUUAGAUCCCAAAAGGAUGUUUUAGGAUUUUGAAAGAGCAAAUUCAGUGGAUUUAUUUAGUCAAACUCUACGUUAAAAACAUCAGGGAAAUUGAAUUGGAGUGGGUCACGUGAUUAGAUAGGAAAGGGGCUUCAUAAAUAAAAUUUAGUUUUUUAAAAGAAGUGUUUUUUCACCAUAUUUACUAAAGAUUAUAUUCCCUUUACAUUGAAGAUUUUGGAGUGUAGAACAGAUUUAUACAGGUGUGUCAGGAGUCCUGAAAUAUGCUGAGAAGCAAGUUCUAUAUUUUAUAUAAGAAACAAAUUGGCUUUAAUUUGUUUGUACCACAUUGUGGAAAUUAUAACACAAGCAGCUGGAGAAUGAAAAACUGCUCAUUCCAAAUGGCUUUUAAUUAAAAGAAAAAGAGAAUUCUAGUUUAGCCAUAAUCUGCGUAUUAGAAGAAGACAAGCAUGGAGGGAUGGCCUGCUCAGAACUCCCAAACUUCCCCUUCUUGUCUCCUUUCCUUUCCUUUCCAGCCUCUUUGUCCUUGGUGCUUUUAUCACUAUGUGCAUUGUCUAAUGAUCUAACAGUUUUUAAUUCAGUAUUCAUUGUUAGGAUUUUUUGUUUGAAAAAUACCUUUUUUUAAAAAUUUUUAAAAAAUUUUUUUGUGGUACGCGGGCCUCUCACUGUUGUGGCUUCUCCCGUUGCGGAGCACAGGCUCCGGACGCGCAGGCUCAGCGGCCAUGGCUCACGGGCCUAGCCGCUCCGCGGCACGUGGGACCCUCCCGGACCGGGGCACGAACCCGUGUUCCCUGCAUCGGCAGGCGGACGCUCAACCACUGCGCCACCAGGGAAGCCCUUUUAAAGACAGUUUUGUGUUUAACUUCAACUUAUGUUAGAUAAUUUAUUUUAAAUUUAAUGAUUACAAAAAUGUGCAUUUCUUUACUCUAAAGACAGCAUGGAAUUUCAUUGCCGUAUUUAAAAGGCUCAUAUAAACAGACUGCCAAAAUACUACCACAUUAGAAAUAGUGUGGGAGAAUGUUACAGACUACUGAGCCAAAAGACAUCCAAAUUGUACGGAGGCAGGUUAUUUGUCAAGAAAGGAGACCUGGACCAUCCUAAUGAGAUAAAUUACUGACUGCUCUCAUAAUUAAAGUCAAGUGAAGCCUGGACUUAAUUUUGCCUAGUGAGGAAAAGGCAAUUGGUGGUGUGAAGGGGAUAGGAACAGCAGGAGAAAGCACCUUUGUCAUCCUCAACUUGGACUUGGCACACGAGUAUGCUUCCUUGAGUGGGAGAGAAAGGUUGACGUUAUAGCAAGUGGCAUGGAAUUCCACAUAAGCAACAGCCUGUUUAUCAGUGUCACCAUAUGCAUUGGGAAGAGCACUCAUAAAUGAUAGAUAGCAAUAUACGUGGUAAUUAAAUAUGAUUACAAUAUUUUACUUUCAGACAAAAUAUAUUUGAGGUUGUAAAACUCAGGAUACAUGGUGAGGGUGUGUCACAUGUGAGGCUAUCAUCAGUGAUGUGCUAUGACAUGAAAGAUGUUGAGAACUCCAAGCAAAUAGUUUAUAAUGGCCAGAAAAGCAAACCCUAAAUAGAGUCAGACAGGUGCCUUGGGAAACUUUUGCAAAAAGUUCAAAGAAAAAAAAUUUUGACCCAGGGACUUGAGUCUUAAAAAGGGAUUAUGGCUAACAAAGAGAUAUUUAAACACACACACAGACACACACACACACACACACACACACACACACACAAACUGCUGAAUAAUUAUGAAAUAAUUCUAAUAAAAUGGAAGAAAGCUUAGGAAAGUUGAAUGGCUAUUUAGUAAUCUCAAAUUUCAAAUGAUAUAUAUAAGAGGUACAAAGAAGGAAGAGUGGCCAAGGAUGAGCAUAGAAAUUAGCAAAUUUAUUAUAAAAGUGUCAUAAAUUAAGUCCCCAAAUAAAUCAAGGCCAAAAAAAAAUGGUAAAGUUGACCAGAAGGAACUAUAAAGCUUGUUUUUUUUUAGUCAAAAAUAACAAGGAAAUAAUAAGUCUACUGCUUAGAGAUGAUAGCAGAAGGUAUAUCAGAGAAGUAGCAGAAUCAUUUAACUCCUAUUUUUCCUUCUCUCUUUCCCAUCCCUUUCUUUCCCUCUUUCCUUCCCUUUUCUAGAUGGGUUUUUAAGCUGAAUAUGGAGAACAAAUUAUGAGAAGUGGGAAUUUCAGCCCAAGAUAGAUAAGGGAUUAGUAAACUAACUCCAAGGUAUUUAAAAUGAGGCCAGAUAUAUUAGGUACCAGGGUGGUAACAGAAUUUUCAGCCGUAAUCUCAGAGCGACUGUUUUUGAAAAGUAUUUGAAAAGUCAUGACAAAUAGGAGAAAUACUGCAAGACCACAGAUGGGUCAGUUUCAUCUUUAUUUUUAAAGAGGGGACUAGGGUGGAUUCUGGAAAUUAUAGACAACUUGAUUCAUGUUUACAGAUUUGACAGUAGGUUGUUAAAAGGCUUGUUUUUGAGCAUGCAGAAAUGAAUGUUAUGGUCAUUAGGAGCCAACAAAUGUCAGCCUAGGAAAAGGUUUGAUAAACUAAAAUGGUUUAUUUUUAGGUUACUAAGCUGAUAGAUAAAGGACUGCUUGAAAAUCGAAUGGCAGCUAGUUACUGGUGUUUGUUUUGAUUUGUUGGAGUAAUAGAAGUUGCCUCCUCUCAAUAAUGUCUAGAAAUGGCUUUAUAUAUUAUGAAAAAUUUUCUAGUAGAAUGCCCUUACCCUAUUCAGUUCAGUAUUUUUAUAAGUGACUGGAUGAACAUAGGCUUCUCAACUCUGCAGAGGACAUGAAAGUAAACAGGGUAUCUUAUUUUGGUGCUUCUCAAACUUUUCCUUGGAAUAUUCCUAAUUGAAGGGGAAAGUAAAACUGUAUGUCUGGAGAGACCAGGGCAAUUGUCCUAAGUGUCUGGCAGAAGAGAGAUAUUUCUGUGAAUUAUUCUGUCUUAAUUAAAAACCAUGUGAAUUUGCAUUCUAUGGAAUAAUUUUUAAAAAUAUAAAAUGACUCUCCCUCUCUCAUUUCUUUAGGGAAAAUUGACAUUUCUGUGCCUUUGAACAUCUUGGUAUAGAGUACCCCGGAGAUACUCUCCUUAUCUUCACCCAAGUCAAUUAUAAAAACCAGAUAGAAUAGGGUAAAGGACAUAUUUGAGGAUAUUUGAAUUUGCAUAUAAGAACUGAAUUAUAUUUAAAAAAAUAGGGUAAAGGACAGAGACCUGUGGCUUUCUAUUAGAGACUACUUCAUGCAGUAUGAAACCAUCAGUGAACAUAUUUAUAUGAUAGGUGAAGGAACCAAAUCUUGAAAAUUAUCUUUAUAAGAUGGCAUAUUAAAGCUAACAGGGAUAAAUGAAAAUUUUGUGUUUGGAUUAGAAUAAAUAUGGGCAUUCAAGUAAAAAAAAAAUCUGUGACUUUAGUUGAUUACAAUCAUUCUAUGAACCAAUAGAGUUAUGUACAGUAAUUGCUAAAAAUGCUAGUGUCAAGUUACUUCAAUAUAAGUAAUAGAUCAAGGAAGGUAAGAGUUCUGCUGUAUUCUACAUUAACAGACCAUUUCUACAGGAUCAGGUUUAAUUUCGGAUGCCAAAUUUAAAUAAUUAUGGACCUUGAUAACAACUAUGGACUAUCCAUAGGAAGGUACCUAAGAUCACCAAGCAUCUGGAAAUUUUAUCAUGCAAGAAAGGGUUAAGGACUGGAGCAGGCUGUGGGGAGACCAGGCUAGCUUAGUGCAGCACAAGGCACUAACUCUUUCCCUGGAGGACUAUGCUUAGGAGUGGCUGCUUAGGUUGUUAAAAUGGAGGCUACUGGGUUCUACAGGUAGAAAUUCAAAUUCAGCAGCCUGGGGCCUUAGAAACUGCAAUUUGACACUCAACCCAGGGGAAUGAUGCAGGUGAUGUAAUGACUUUGAGAAACACUGUUCUAUGCAAUGGAUACAGAAGCAAUACUGCAAUUACAAAGAAGGAGAAUGGCUCCACGUUAAAAACAAACAACUUCUUUUUUUUGCCAACAACCAGAGUUAGAAAACAGUGGGGUAAGACGUGUUAUUAUAAUAUUACUCAGGAUGUUCAUGGAUAUUCCAGAAGUCAGGAAUGAUGCAAAGACACACUGAAGGACAUUGUGGACUAAAAGUUCAAUCAUUUGGACUAUAGCAGAAAAAUGAAAAUUAAUAAAAUUGUAUCUUUUGGUUUCAGUGGAAAGAGAAUGCUAACAUUUGUAUUAAGUAGCCUCUUUUUGUUUAAUUAUAAUAAAAUUGAUUUUGUAUGUAAA